rnacentral:misc_RNA from 1 species
UCAAACUUGGUCAUUUAGAGGAAGUAAAAGUCGUAACAAGGUUUCCGUAGGUGAACCUGCGGAAGGAUCAUUACAUCAUGGUAAGGGAUGGUUUGUGGUGGACACUGCAUGUGUCCAUUGCACACCUCCCUGUAUCUUCUUGCAUACCCCUUUGUGAACAACACUGAGCUGAUGUGGGCUCCAAUGACAUCACGUUAUUGGUGGUCCCAUCAGUCUCAAUAACAACAACCCUACCUAUUGUCAAACCACACACAACCUUACUGUGUACCCUUAUGUCAUCCUUGACUGAGAACCAUUGCUGCUAUUGUGCUUGACACAAUAACAACCAAAACCAAAAAGUAUAUCAUAACUUUUAACAACGGAUAUCUUGGCUCGCGCAUCGAUGAAGAACGCAGC